ensembl:lncRNA CEROX1 cytoplasmic endogenous regulator of oxidative phosphorylation 1
GCCCCACGCCUGGAGCUCCCCUCUCUGGAGCCCCGGGAAAGGAAGCGGGGCAGGGAGGCCGGGUGGGAGCAGGGGGGUCUCCGGCGCUUCCUCUCCUCUGCGGGCGCCGCGCGGCUCCUGAGAGUCCGCCCCCCGUCCUGACGCUCAGCUAGGAAGCGGGUCCUCGGGCCCCUCCCCCGACACACACACACACACACACACACACACACACACACACACACACUCUCUCUCUCUCUCUCUCUCUCUCUCUCUCUCUCUCUCUCUCUCACACACACACACACACACACAGCCCGUCUCGCGCCUGAGGUCUCGCCCGCAGGCCGGUGGCGCGGGGUCAGCUGCUGCCUGCGGUCCAGGACAGGGUCGGUUCCGCCGCGCAGCGCCCAGGCCCAGCUCGUCCAGAGUCUGCGGACAGCGCACGUCCAGGAGCAGUGCUUUCUGGGCCUCUGUAGCCAGAGCUGGCCCUGCUGCAGCUUACGUCUGCCUGCAGCCCAGACGUCCUCCUGGUCCUCCUGAUGCCCCCGACCUCCACGGAGGACGAGCAUUUCCAGCCCAGCCCUCCCCAUCUUCACCUCGCACUCCCCUGACACACUGGGAGCCUCCUGAUCCGUGAACCCGCGCUGGCGGGAGUAGCUACUGACCGCUGGGGACCCCUGCCCAGGCUGUUCGCAUGUGGAAAGGAUUCAGGGAGCAGGCGAUGCCCAAAGCGUGGAGACCAGCACUGCUCUCUCCCCAGUGACAGGUGCACGCCCAGAUCACGGAUGUGUCGGGAACAGCUGUGCUCCUGCUGCUCAGCGUCCGUCACUCCAGGCUGGGAGCGGGUCCCCAAGCUUCUGGCUGGGCCUAUCCGUCUCCACUCUCAGUGUGGGGGUGGGGGGCGCCAACAGCACGCAUUUGCUCUCUGCACUUCUCGUCUGAUAAUGGGCAGAGGGUCCUUCUGCAGCCCCAAAACAUCCCUAGGCAGGAGCCCUGGGGCCCCAAGCAGCCAGGGAGGUGAGCACCAAGGACCUCCCAGAGAGCGUCACCUUCCGUCGAGGGAGGCCCAGCCUGGGGGCGGUGUCUGAGACUUGGAAUCAACGCUUCCGUUGGUGGCAGUAAAUCCUGUCCCUAACCCUGCAGUACAGCUGUGCCGUGUACAGGAGGGUGCUGUCUGACGCCAGACACCUGGACUACAGAUCGCAGCCUGAUUCCUGGUCAUUGCUCCACUGAACCCCAGACCCCAGCCUCGUUCUGGGCCCUCAUCCCCUAGAUCCAGGGACCCCAGCCCCAUUUCAGCCCUUGGGCCCUUGUAGGAUGCGAGGCCCUGGGCCCCAGCCCCCAGCCCAUCCGUGGCCCAGGCACUGGGGGGCUGAGGUCCUCUGAGAAGGGACACAGGGCCUGGGGGGCUCUCUCAGCCCAUCAGCAGGAGAGGACUGACUCCAGAAAAAUCAGCGUUUGUACCCACUCAGGCUGCCAAGACCUGUGUCCGUCCUUCCAAGCUCAACCUUCAGAGUUCAUGAGGCCCCUUGCCCAGAAUGUCCACAGAGUUCAUGAGGCCCCUUGCCCGGAAUGUCCACAUUUGAAACCUCCCAACACCGAGCCCCAUUUCAAGUAUAACCAGGAGGGAAAAUGGUGCUUGAAAUAAGCAUGCCACAAAGGAAAACCUGCUUUCUCGAAAUGGGCCCUGGCCGCCCAGGCCCUGACCUCCCCGGCCAGGAUGGAACGUUCCAGAGACCCAUUAGUGCCAAAGGCAAAUGAAAACACACCCUGUGAAAAUGUCU